rnacentral:rRNA from 1 species
CCUACGGGGGGCAGCAGUCGAGAAUCAUUCACAAUGGGGGAAACCCUGAUGGUGCGACGCCGCGUGGGGGAAUGAAGGUCUUCGGAUUGUAAACCCCUUUCAUGUGGGAGCAAAUUAAAAAGAUAGUACCACAAGAGGAAUAGCCGGCUAACUCUGUGCCAGCAGCCGCGGUAAUACAGGGGUCUCAAGCGUUGUUCGGAAUCACUGGGCGUAAAGGGUGGGGAGGCUGUUUCGUAAGUCGUGUGUGAAAGGCGCGGGCUCAACCCGCGGACGGCACAUGAUACUGCGGGACUAGAGUAGGGGAGGGGGAAGCGGAAUUCUCGGUGUAGCAGUGAAAUGCGUAGAUAUCGAGCGGAACACUCGUGGCGAAGGCGGGUUCCUGGACAUUAACUGACGCUGAGGCACGAAGGCGAGGGGAGCGAAAGGGAUUAGAUACCCGGGUAGUC